rnacentral:rRNA from 1 species
UACGUAGGGUGCCAGCGUUGUUCGGAAUCACUGGGCGUAAAGGGCGUGUAGGCGGAUUGUUAAGUCAGGUGUGAAAUCCCACAGCUUAACUGUGGAACUGCGCUUGAAACUGGCAAUCUAGAGUACGGUAUAGGGUGAUAGAAUUCCUAGUGUAGUGGUGAAAUACGUAGAGAUUAGGAGGAAUACCGGAGGCGAAGGCGAUCACCUGGGCCUGUACUGACGCUAAGGCGCGAAAGCGCGGGGAG